rnacentral:lncRNA from 1 species
AGGAAGUCCAUGGCUUGCCUGGAUUUUUGUAAUAACACCCUGGGGAGUCCCCUGCUUCUACCCUAGUCUUCACCCAGCAGUGUGCUGGUCCAUUAGAGAUGUGAGUCAUACUGCAUCACUCCUCUGGUCAAACACCGUCAUAAAGAAGCCUGGAAAACUGAUGAUGACAGGUGCAUCCAGGAAGGGAAACACACAGGUGGGAGGAAGGGCACAGAGGUGAAAGGAAGGCUUGCAUUUACUGUAUACCUUUUGCAUCUUAUGAAUUUUUAUAUCAUAUCCGUGUAUUACCAGCCUGAUUAAAUCAUUUUAAUUUAAUUGCCAUUUCACAAAAAUCUCUCCAAUGCUUUCCAUUUCAUGCAGAGUAAAAGUCAAUUCCUUAUAGGGCUUUCAAGGUCUACACUAGGAUGAGUGUAUAAUUUUUCAUUUGAACCGGGACACUUUUGAGAGUGAAAGGUGGUAAUAUACAUGAUUACCACAGAAUAACCAGCAUAAAAUAGAGCAUUCAAGGGCCAACAAGGGUACAGCUAACCCUACUCAUCCCUAGACGCUCUCUCACUUCCUCCUCCUGCUCCCUGUACUCCAGGCAUGUCCGUGGACUUAUACACAGAGCACACCAGGUACUCUCCCACCUCAGGACCUUUGCACUUGAUCGGAUCAUUCUUCUUCUGGACGUCUAAAUCAAUUGCUUGCUCACCUGCUUCAUGUUUUGUUCUCUGACCACCCUAUUCCCUAUUCUUUUCUGCUUUAUUUAUAUCCAUAGAAGGUAUCACCCUCUACUGUAGUAUAUCAUGUGUUUUGUAUUUGUUUCGUGUUGGUCUCUCUCCAUUGAUAUAGAUGUUCCAUAAAGGCAGACUUUUGCUCUAUUUUGCUUAUUGCUGAAUCCCCAGUAUCUCGAUGUACCCGGCAUGUGGCAGGCGCUCAGUAAAUAUUUAUUUAAUGAAUGUUGGAUGUAAUCAAAAAUGCCGACAUCAUCCUAGUCAGUAGACUCAGGGCUGUGUUCCAGGCUGAGUUUCAGGAGCUGGGUCUGAGUGCAGAAGGGCAGGAGACUGAGUGGAGAUGUUGGGGAAAGGGGUCAGGGAGGCUCAGAAAGGCUCCGAAACAGAGAAGGCUAAAAAUUGAAGUAGAAGACCCAAAUAAGUAUCAAAGCCAAGGGUGCAGAUGAAGACACAAGGAGAGGUGGUGAUGCAAGACAUAAUCACAGUGGAAACAAACCCGACUCGUAUCCACAAGCAUAUGGUUUUAAUCCCCGGCCUCCCUCAGUGGGUUAAGGAUCCAGCAUUGCUGUGAGCUGUGGUGUAGGUCACAGACACAGCUCGGAUCUGGCGUUGCUGUGCCUGUGGCUGUGGCCGGCAGCUGCAGCUCCAAUUCAACCCCUAGUCUGGGAACUUCCAUGUAUUGUGUCUACGGCCCUAAAAAAAGAAAAGAAAAGAAAAACACCAUUAGAGGUGACAAGAUACAGGUAGGUUUCAUAAGACGCAUGGCAAGCAGGGCAGUUACAGAAAGACUUUUGCCGUUUAGUACAUGGGUAGGAUUUAUUGGUAAGUGGACUAGAUCAUCUGGAAGAAGUUCAGUGCUUCCCAAACUGUACCUGUGGCUUUGCUCAGGUUUCUAAAAGACUUUUCUAAGGAACAACUGUAGUGGACUUGAACGGUAAUGAACUGAUCUAAUGAGUGAGAGUCAUCUAAAAGAAAGCACAGUUUGAAGGAAUUGGGACAAAUUUAACUAAAGUUGUUUGUAUAACCCUAUUGUACAGUCAGAUGUUUUCUGCGUACUUUUUAAAAGCAGCCCUUGAACACUGCGAAUACCAUACCUGAGAGUCUACUUGUUAUAGGACGAUGUAUGCAGAUAAAUAGAUGGAGCUCAUUCUUGUGUUCAACUUUGCUUCUAUCAGAUUUGUGGAUUAAAGCAGUUCCUAUGUUCUACGGAUGAUGCUAUGGGAAGAAAAUACGGUCUGAAUAGUCAUCUUUUUUCAAAGUUAUUAUAAAAAACAGGGGAGUUCCCGUCGUGGCUCAGUGGUUAACGAAUCCGACUAGGAACCAUGAGGUUGCGGGUUCGAUCCCUGGCCAUGCUCAGUGGGUUAAGGAUCCGGCGUUGCCGUGAGCUGUGGUGUAGGUCGCAGAUGUGGCUCGGAUUCCGCGUUGCUGUGGCUGUGGUGUAGGCUGGUGGCUACAGCUCUGAUUCGAUCCCUAGCCUGGGAACCUCCAUAUGCUGUGGGAAGCGGCCCAAGAAAAAUGGCAAAAAGACAAACAAACAAAAAAAAACAAAGACAUGAAAACAUUCUUUUCUGGCAAGGAGAUAAUUUAAAAGUGUUCGAUUUUCUGAGUGUUUUUAUCACCCUGUGCUAUUAGUAAACUUAUGUUAUUGAGGGGCUUUGGGUGAAUCCCCAUCUGCCCUCAUUUUGAAAGGUGCUUGGUAGGGAUCUUAAUCAACUAAGUUGACGUGUAAUUUAUAUACAGGAAACCACACCCAUGGUUUGAUGAGUUUCCACAACAUGUACACCUAGGAAACCACCAUCACCAUCAAGAUACAGAACAUUCCAUCCGUAAAGGAGUUUCCUGUGUCCCAGUCAUCAAUCCUAUCCUCCGUACAACCACUGAUUUGCUUUCUGCCACUAUAGAUUAAUUCUACAUUUUAUCAAGUUUUAAGUAAAUGGAAUCACACCGGAGGUACCCUUUUGAGCCUGGUUCUUUUGCCCAGCCUUAUGCCUUUGAGACCCAUGCAUGUUGUUACAUAUGUGCAUAGAUUCUUAACUGCUGAGUGGCCUUCCACGGCAUAAAUACGUCCCAUUUUGUUUAUCUGUUCACGUGUUGAUGGCGUUUGGGUAGGUUCCGUUUGGAAGCUCUUAUAAGCACAGGUGUAUGGACGCUCACAUACAGAGUCUUUAUGUGGCUGCAGGUGUUCACUGCUCUGAACACCCAUGGCCACAUAAAGCUGAAAAUGAUAGAGUGGAAAGUAAAAACCUGAAAGUGAAAAUGCUGGCUUUUAGGAGAGGUGCCUGUUUAAUUUUAUAUGGAAAACACAAAGUUUUCCAAGGUGGUGUAUACAUUUUAUGCCUCCACCAGGAAUAUGUGAGCGUUCCAGUUUCUGGGCAUCUUUGCCAAGGUUGGUAUGACCAGCCCCUUCCAUUUUAGGCAUCCUGAUGGGUAUGUGGUGGUACCUCACUGUGGUUUCAAUUGCCAUUCCCCUGAAAACUAAAGGUGUAAAGCAUCCUGUCACAUGCUCAUUGGCUUAUUGUGAGGUGUCUAUUCAAAUAUCUUAUCCCCUUUUAUUGGCUGCUCCUGCAGCAUAUGGAAGUUCCCAGGCUAGAGGGUGAACUGAAGAUGUAGCUGCCAGCCUACACCACAUCCAUAGCAAUGCCAGAUCCGAGCUUCAUCUGCAACCAACACGACAGCUUGUAGCAACACCAGACCCCUAACCCACUGAGCGAAGCCGGGGAUCCAACUCACAUCCUCAUAGACACUCUGUCAGGUUCUUAGCCCACUGAGUCACAAUGGGAACACCUCUUUCUGUGUUUUUAAUAGCAGCAUUUUUAAACUUUAGAUUAAUUCCAGUCAAACAUACCAUAUAACAAUAUAUCAUUUUUUCCUUUUAUGGGUCACACUUUUUGUGUUUUUUCUAAGAAAUCCUUGCCUAUUAGAAAAUGACAAAGAUUUUCCUUCUAUACCUUCCUCUAUAUGUCUUAGAAUUUUACUUUUCACAUAGAGAUCUCUGAUCCAUCUUAUUUUUUAUGUCUGAUAUAAGGUAAAAAUCACGGUUCAUUUGUUAUAUGGAUAUCCAAUUGUUUCAGCACCAUUACUGAAAAACUUACUCUUCACACCAUUUAAUUUCCUUG